rnacentral:misc_RNA from 1 species
UACGGAGGGUGCAAGCGUUAAUCGGAAUUACUGGGCGUAACGCGCGCGUAGGCGGUUUGAUAAGCAGGAUGUGAAGGCCCCGGGCUUAACCUGGGAAUGGCAUUCUGACCUGUCUGACUGGAGUAUGGUAGAGGGUAGUGGAAUUUCCGGUGUAGCGGUGAAAUGCGUAGAUAUCGGAAGGAACACCAGUGGCGAAGGCGACUACCUGGACCAAUACUGACGCUGAGGUGCGAAAGCGUGGGUAGCAAACAGG